CUCGAGGCCAGAUCUAGAGUUUGAUCCUGGCUGAGAACGAACGCUGGCGGCGUGCCCAACACAUGCAAGUCGAACGUGAAAGUUCUUCGGAACGAGUAGAGUGGCGCACGGGUGAGUAAUGCAUAGGUAACCUACCUUUUAGUGGGGAAUAACAUUUGGAAACGAAUGCUAAUACCGCAUGUGGAUAGUGAGCGCGAGCUUACUAUCUAAAGGGGGCUUCGGCUCUCGCUAAAAGAGGGGCCUGUGUGACAUUAGCUUGUUGGUGGGGCAACGGCCUACCAAGGCUGCGAUGUCUAGCUGGUCUGAGAGGAUGAUCAGCCACACUGGAACUGACACACGGUCCAGACUCCUACGGGAGGCAGCAGUGGGGAAUAUUGCGCAAUGGGGGAAACCCUGACGCAGCGACGCCGCGUGAGUGAUGAAGGCCUUCGGGUUGUAAAGCUCUGUCAGCAGGGACUAAAUGCGUGCGGUUAAUACCCGUACGAGUUGAAGGUACCUGCAGAGGAAGCACCGGCUAACUCUGUGCCAGCAGCCGCGGUAAUACAGAGGGUGCAAGCGUUGUUCGGAAUUACUGGGCGUAAA
rnacentral:rRNA from 1 species